GGCUGCAGUUGCUCGAUUGUUUGUGUGUUUGUGCCGUUCUGGGAAGGUAGAGAGAAGUGAAACAGGAUAGUGACCGUGUGCCCAAGUGUGUGUGUGUGUGUCUGUGAGGAAUUGAAAAGGGAUAGUGAGGAAGCGAGAAAGCGGCUAAAGCAGAACAACAGAACAUCUUCAACCAAGCAACCUUUGGAUCCUCUGGACCAAGAAGGGAUCAAGUUUGUGCAUUGCAUUGUUUGAUCAUCACUUCCGCAACAAGGAGUCGACGCGAGCCGUGUGCGUGCCGGUCAGCAUCUCGACGGUGGAAGGAACUGCUGCGCUGCACUGCGUCAUCGCUGCGUUGCGGAUCGGGACAAUACGUUGA